rnacentral:rRNA from 1 species
AUGGAGCUCCUCCGCGCGGUCGUCCUGCUCUCCCUGGCGCUCCUGGCCAACGGCCGGGACACCGACCUCUCCCGGGACAGCUUCCCCAAGGGCUUCGUGUUCGGCACCGCCUCGUCGGCGUACCAGGUGGAGGGCAACUCCCUCAAGUACGGCCGCGGGCCCUGCAUCUGGGACACCUUCCUCAAGUAUCCAGGUGCCACUCCCGACAACGCCACCGCCAACGUGACCGUCGACGAGUACCAUCGCUACAUGGACGAUGUGGACAACAUGGUCAGGGUGGGCUUCGACGCCUACCGCUUCUCCAUCUCCUGGUCGCGUAUCUUCCCCAAUGGGAUCGGGAGGAUCAACAAAGACGGCGUGGACUACUACCACAGGCUCAUCGACUACAUGCUUGCCAACAAUAUCACUCCGUACGUCGUGCUCUACCACUACGACCUGCCGGAGGUCCUCAACAACCAGUACAACGGCUGGCUCAGCCCCAGGGUCGUGCCCGACUUCACGGCUUUCGCCGACUUCUGCUUCAAGACGUACGGCGACCGGGUGAAGAACUGGUUCACCAUCAACGAGCCGCGGAUGAUGGCCUGGCACGGCUACGGCGACGGCUUCUUCGCGCCCGGCAGGUGCACCGGCUGCCGGUUCGGCGGCAACUCCGCCACGGAGCCCUACAUCGCCGGCCACCACCUCCUCCUCGCGCACGCCGCCGCCGUCAAGGUGUACCGCGACAAGUACCAGCGCAGGCAGAACGGCACCAUCGGCAUCCUCCUGGACUUCGUGUGGUACGAGCCGCUGACCUACACCGUGGAGGACGAGUACGCGGCGCACAGGGCGAGGGAGUUCACCCUUGGCUGGUACAUGCACCCGAUCACCUUCGGCCACUACCCGGAGACGAUGCAGAAGCUGGUGGGGACGAGGCUGCCCAACUUCACGGCGGAGCAGAGCAAGCUGCUGCAGGGCUCGGCGGACAUCAUCGGGAUCAACCACUACACCACCUACUACGUCAGGCACCACGAGAACCUGACGCGCAUGAGCUACGCCACGGACUGGCAGGCCGAGCUUCUCUUCGAGCGCAACGGCGUGCCGAUCGGAAGACAGGCGUUCUCGAAGUGGCUGUACGUGGUGCCCUGGGGGUUCUACAAGGCGGUGAUGCACGUGAAGAACAAGUUCAGGGACCCCUUGAUCCUCAUCGGCGAGAACGGGAUCGACCAGUCGGGCAGCGACACGCUGCCGCACGCGCUCUACGACACCUUCAGGAUCGACUACUUCGACCAGUACCUCCACGAGCUGAAGCGCGCCAUCGCCGACGGCGCCAGGGUGACGGGCUACUUCGCGUGGUCGUUGCUGGACAACUUCGAGUGGCGGAUGGGCUUCACCUCCAAGUUCGGCCUCGUCUACGUCGACCGCAAGACCUUCACCCGGUACCCCAAGGACUCCACGCGCUGGUUCCGGAAGGUGAUCAAGAGCGAGGAGUACUGA